GUGCCGUGGGUCGUCUGAGUGGGCGGACGUACGCAGCCGCUCCGUGACGUUCUGACUGGUCCCGCCUGUUCGGCAUAACAUGUGAAUUACAUCAUCAACUUGGAAAAAAAUAAGUGGACGAUAUCUCUGAAAUUGGAAUUCAUUGUGUGAACUUAUUUUUACGAGAUAUGCCCGCGAAUGUGACUCGAGAGUAAGAUCAAGUUAAAAGGAGGACAAAUCGCCCCGCCGUAAUUCUGACGAGGUUCGACAUCAGCGCCUCUUGCGGCAACCGGGGCUAAAACACAAGAACAUCUCUGUUGGGCAGCGUAAAUAUUCGGAGUGUGCGUGUGCGUUUGUGUGUUUGUGCUCGUUUACGCUGUACGGAACAGAGGUGCAUCAGUGCCGAUUGCGGGACGGCAGUGUGCGUUCGUCGAAGAGGUGUUUGCGGUUAGUCAGUGGUUUAGUUAUUGGUGAAGCAAACCUUUCAGAUUCCUGGAAAAAAAUAAUUAUAAAAUUAUAUAUUGGUGUUUAAGUGGUUCGGUUGAAAAAAUGACACAUUUUAUGAACUCACCGGAAAGAAAAAUUAAUUCGUAAAUUUGAUUUUAAAAUCUCUCCAUAAGAUAAAAGACUGCGUAACGCACUUUUAAAAUUACUUAACGCAGAAAAAGGGGAAAUUGCAAACGAACGUCCAGUGGUUGGAAGCAGAGGGGAGAUUUAUGCAAGUUGGUGCAUUCAGGGAAACGCCAGGGCAAGCUCUGAGGAAGAGUCAAAAAGGUCAUCUUCAGCAGGUCCGGAACGUGUUUCAUCCACGACACAACCUUCUUAGGGUUAUGGAGGAAGAGUCCGAAUGAUGUGUAACGCGACUCCUUCAAGUCAUUUGCCAUUGAUUAAAGAAAAACAACAGCCUCAAGCCUUCUCGAUCGAGUUUCAGUAACGUCCAGCUGGGAACGACCUCCCCCCCCACUUCACCCUACCCAUAUCUCAGCCCAAGCCUCCAUCACCUUUCACCCUUCACCCUUCGCCCCUUAAACUCUCCGUCCUUCUGACCUGCUCUGGCGUCACAGCGCGAGAGGGCAAGAUCGGCUGACCAAAUAGAAGACUGCCAGCGGGUAUGUGGCGGGUGGUCGCGCCUGACCAGCAGAAAUAACAAGGAGUUCCCAUUGAUCUGUUACGGUGUCGGCUCUAACGGACGCGACCACCCCUCCCCCUACCCCCUCUCCCACCCCAUCAGGAAGAAGAGUUGGUUUCCCACUCGACUCGGACCCCGGUCACUCCUCCUGCGGCGCGGAGACCCUCCCUCACGGACCGUUGCUGAAGAAAAUUUUCAUUUUGUAAGAAGGAUUAGUCUAUAAAAGAGGAUGAAAAAAAAUUACAUAAGUAGUGUUGAAUAAGGGAAUAGGAAAAUGGUUGUUCUUCCUCUGACGAAAAGGGGGAGAAUUUAAAGACCGAGUGGAUAAAGGACGGCUAAGGAAAACAAAGAAAGCUGAAGAGAUAUGUGUCACGUAAAGGUCACACAAGACUCCACCCACCAUUGAGCCUUGCUAACCCCAGCUGACCUUUUUUCUUAUCCGACGUGACCUUCUGCUGAUCCCCCACUUGGUCCCAGGGUCAUUGCUCAGAUCAUGGAAACUUUCGUGUGAGAGAAAAAAAAAUAUACCUGUAAAAAUAUACGAAAACAUUACUAUCGGGGGGCCGGAUGUGCCGGACUUAGAUAAUCCACACGAAAGUUAAAUUUGGUAGAAAAACGAACAAUCUACGGAAUCGAGAUAAGAAAAGAACGGAAAGGAAGAGAUAAAGCGUGAGAGUGUGAGAGGAGAAGGAUGCACAGGAAGUUUACACUAGCGUCGUCCGAAACGCCAGGGUGCAGGAGAGAACCCGAUAAGAUGUGAAGUGUUCGAACCGUCUCGUUAUGGCUGGCGCGGCGGCGGUGCCUGAGUGACACCUUUCGAAUCCGGUUGUGACGUGUUCCGACGUCAUCGUUUGGGUGUGAC